rnacentral:rRNA from 1 species
GACGAACGCUGGCGGCGUGCUUAACACAUGCAAGUCGAGCGGAGCGGAGAACGGGUGAGUAACGCGUGAGUAACUGCCCCCCUCUCUGGGAUAACAGUUGGAAACGGCUGCUAAUACCGGAUAGUGGGGGAUGACUCGCGUCCUAUCAGCUUGUGGGUGGGGUAGUGGCCUACCAAGGCGACGACGGGUAGCCGGCCUGGGAGGGCGACCGGCCACAUUGGGCUAAGAUAGGGCGCAAACUCCUACGGGGGGCAGCAGUGGGGAAUAUUACACAGUGGGGGAGCCCCUGAUGCAGAAACGCCGGGUGCGGGAUGACGGCCUUCGUGUUGUAAACCGCUUUCAGCCAUGACGCGGUAGUGGCAGAAGAAGCACCGGCUAACUACGUGCCAGCCGCCGCGGUAAUAC